GAUGAAUGCUGGCGGCGUGCCUAAUACAUGCAAGUCGAGCGAAUGGAUUAAGAGCUUGCUCUUAUGAAGUUAGCGGCGGACGGGUGAGUAACACGUGGGUAACCUGCCCAUAAGACUGGGAUAACUCCGGGAAACCGGGGCUAAUACCGGAUAACAUUUUGAACCGCAUGGUUCGAAAUUGAAAGGCGGCUUCGGCUGUCACUUAUGGAUGGACCCGCGUCGCAUUAGCUAGUUGGUGAGGUAACGGCUCACCAAGGCAACGAUGCGUAGCCGACCUGAGCGGGUGAUCGGCCACACUGGGACUGAGACACGGCCCAGACUCCUACGGGAGGCAGCAGUAGGGAAUCUUCCGCAAUGGACGAAAGUCUGACGGAGCAACGCCGCGUGAGUGAUGAAGGCUUUCGGGUCGUAAAACUCUGUUGUUAGGGAAGAACAAGUGCUAGUUGAAUAAGCUGGCACCUUGACGGUACCUAACCAGAAAGCCACGGCUAACUACGUGCCAGCCGCCGCUGUA
rnacentral:rRNA from 1 species